AAGAAUAUAGCAUAGUGCAUAAAUAAAAUGUAAAAACAAAACACAAAUGUUUCUUCCUCAGGCCAUCAGUGGACAUUUUCAGCACACACCUGGUUUCUAUUUCAAUAAUACUUGCAUGUCACAUGGGCAAGAAAAUACAUCAGAAAAUCUAUAAAGUAGUACCUAGUACAAUAGAAUGCAUGAUCUAGAUUAUAUACAAUUGCGGACAGAGAGAAAUCAUCAAUUAUUACUUAUAGAUGUACAAUGUGAACAUUUCCUCAAAAUAAAUAACACAGGAUUGUAAGAGUAGGGAGCUAGAGACCCCACUAGCUGGGGGUAUCGUACACAAAUAGUUGCAGAAAACACUCCAAUAACAAUUAUUCAUUCAUGCCUAAAAUAGAAUAUGACGUUAGAAGACCUGCAUGUGGAAUGUGGAUACUGUUUGAUAGUGUAUUGUUUUCCAGUGGCAGAGCUGUUGAAUACGCUCACUUUGUAAUAGGUAUCCUUACAUGCUGCACAACUACGACAGAGGUAGAAGCCAGUCACCUGGUGUCAGCCCUAACAGUGAAGUCCCUGACAUUCCUGGCCCUGUAGUGUGAAAUGAGAGGAGGGUCAGAGAAAAUCUUUUGGCAAGCAGGAUCAGCAAUAAGCACAUUCCAAUACUACUUAAUAGCUCCCUUGAUGUCAUCACUCCCUUGAUGUCAUCACUCACAGAACAAUAUGUAACAGUACAGACAUGAAUGGUUUUUAUUUUAUUCAUUUUUGUAUUACUUUUAUCCCUUCUGGUAGAGGUCUCAUCAAUGGUACGUACUCUACUGAGAGCACUAGAGGCAUGUAGGCUUUGUAUACAAAGUAGUGGACAAAGACCCUGACUGAAGGCGCACAAGGGUAUCCCGGAAGAAUAUCUCGCUAGGACUAAUCUCUGCUAUGAUAUAUGUAUAUGUAACCCAAUCACAAUGCAGAGGGUGUACAUCUCCAUAAUGAGACAACAUUCCAUGCCAAGGGAAUGAUGUACAUUAUAAAUCUUCUUCAGGAUCGGUGGAUCCCCUGCGGGACGGUUGAGUUAACGAAGGCUAAUGUGAUUAGCAUGAGGUUGUAAGUAACAAGUAAACAUAUCUGAUAUUGUCUGAAAGCUUAAAUUCUUGUUAAUCUAAGAGCACUGUUUCCAGUAGCUAUUACAGUGAAAUAAUACCAUGCUAUUGUUUGAGGAGAGUGCACAGUUUUGAACAUUAAAAGUUAUUAAUGAACAAAUUAGGCACAUUUGGGCAGUCUUGAUACAACAUAAUGAAAAUUAAUGCAAUGGUUCAUUGGACCAGUCUAAAACGUUCACAUACACUGGUGCCAUCUAGUGGCCAAAAUCUAAAUUCCACCUGGGCUGGAAUAAUACAUUAUGGCCUUUCUCUUCCAUUUCAAAAAUGAUGGUACAAAAAAAUACACUUUUUUUCUUUGUAUUAUCUUUUACCACAUCUAUUGUGUUAUAUUCUCCUACAUUCAUUUCACAUUUCCACAAACUUCAAAGUGUUUCCUUUCAAAUGGUACCAAUAAUCUGCAUAUCCUUGCUUCAGGACCUGAGUUACAGGCAGUUGAAUUUGGGUAUGUCAUUUUAGGCGAAAAUUGAAAACAAUGGUACAAGCCUUCAGGGCCACACCAACACCCACACAUUCUCAUGUUAGCCGCUCAUUCAAGUGAGAAGAAUAGUGGGACCAGCUAGGCAUAACCUAUCUGAAUGGAAAAGACUGCAGUGUAGACAAGCAGUGUUUAUAUUAGUUUCUGUGACUUGCAGUAUACAGUUGAAGUUGGAAGAUUACGUACAUUUAAACAAAUACAUUUAAACUCCGUUUUUCAGAAUUCCUGACAUUUAAUCAGAGUAAAAAUUCCCUGUCUUAGGUCAGUUAGGAUCACCACUUUAUUUUAAGAAUGUAAAAUGUCAGAAUAAUUGUAGAGAGAAAUAUUUAUUUCAGCUUUUAUUUAUUUCAUCACAUUCCCAGUAGGUCAGAAGUUUACAUACACUCAAUUAAUAUUUGGUAGCGUUGCCUUUAAAUUGUUUAAGUUGGGUCAAAUGUUUUGGGUAGCCUUCCACAAGCUUCCCACAAUAAGUUGGGUGAAUUUUGGCCCAUUCCUCCUGACAAAGCUGGUGUAACUGAGUCCGGUUUUUAGGCCUCCUUGCUCGCACACACUUUUUCAGUUCUGCCCACACAUUUUCUACAGGAUUGAGGUCAGGGCUUUGUUAUGGCCACUACAUUACCUUGACUUUGUUGUCCUUAAGCCAUUUUUCCACAACUUUGGAAGUAUGCUUGGGGUCAUUGUCCAUUUGGAAGAUCCAUUUGCAACCAAGCUUUAACUUCUUGACUGAUGUCUUGAGAUGCUGCUUCAAUAUAUCCCCAUAAUUUACCGACCUCAUGAUGCCAUCUAUUUUGUGAAGCGCAUCAGUCCCUCCUGCAGCAAAACACCCCUACAACAUGAUGCUGCCACCCCCGUGCUUCACGGUUGGGGUGGAGUUCAUUGGCUUGCAAGCCUCCCCCUUUUUCCACCAAACAUAACAAUGGUCAUUAUGGCAAAACUGUUCAAUUUUUGUUUCAUCAGAUCAGAGGACAUUUCUCCAAAAAGUAUGAUCUUUUCCCCAUUAGUCUGGCUUUUUUUAUGGCUGUUUUGGAGCUGAGCGGCCUUUCAGGUUAUGCCGAUAUAGGACUCGUUUUACUGUGGCUAUAGAUACUUUUGUACAUGUUUCCUCCAGCAUCUUCACAAGGUCCUUUGCUGUUGUUCUGGGAUUGAUUUGCAUUUUUCGUACCAAAGACAUUCAUCUCUAGGACACAGAACACAUCUCCUUCCUGAGCAGUAUGGAGGCUGCCUGGUCCCAUGGUGUUUUUACUUGCAUACAAUUGUUUGUACAGAUGAAUGUGGUACCUUCAAGCAUUUGGAAAUUGCUCCCAAGGCUGAACCAGACUUGAUUUUUUUCUGAGGUCUUGGCUGAUUUCUUUUGAUUUUCCCAUGAUGUUAAGCAAAGAGGCACUGAGUUUUAAUGGAGGCCUUGAAAUACAUCCACAGGUACACCUCCAAUUGACUCAAAUUAUGUCAAUUAGCCUAUCAGAAGCUCUAAAGCCAUGAUAUAAUUUUCUGGAAUUUUCCAAGCUGUUUAAAGGCACAGCCAACUUAUUGUAUGAAAACUUCUGACCACUGGAAUUGUCAUACAGUGAAUUCUAAAUGAAAUAAUCUGUCUGUAAAGAAUUUUUGGAAAAAUUACCUGUGUCAGGCACAAAGUAGCUGUCCUAACCGACUUGCCAAAACUAUAGUUUGUAAACAAUAGAUUUGUGGAGUGGUUGAAAAACGAGUUUUAAUGACUCCAAGCUAAGUGUAUGUAAACUUCCAACUUCAACUGUAUGUCUAUUAUUGAAAUCAAUUCAGUUUCACAUGCAGCAAUCUUGUUUUCUCUAGUGGUAACAAUGCCCGUCCAUAAUUCAUACUCAUCUAGGCCUCUGGAAGUCGCUCGCAUGCUAUCUGCCUGGCAAAGCUGUCUUUUAAUAUAGCCAUGCACCGGUCUCUUUGUGUAUUGACAGCUUCCCAUCACACACACAACCAGAAACACAGACACACACACACACAAACACACACAAACACAUAGAAACACAGACACACACACACACACACAAACACAUAGAAACACACACACAGAAACAGACACACAAAUGCACAUAAAUACAGACACACACACAUACAGUACAUAGUGAACCAAAAGCCGAAACAGUCAGCCUUGUUAUUUCUGUUCCUUCAGAAUACAUUUGAUGGAUGGUUGGCGGGCAUUACGACUGACUGAUGGCACUCCCCAGCAAAGGGAGCAUAAAAAGAACCAUUGCAUAGCCCAGGAGACAAUACACACACACACAUGAACAGUGCUAUGUGUCUUAGCAUUCUCAAAACAAAUGCUCUCACAGUUUUCAAGGGAACGUGAGAGAGUAGUGGGAGAGGAGGGGACAUAAAACAAGAUUGAGAUCGAGCCAGAGCUCUAGGCUCCUCCAUUUAAAUUCCCUCCACUGCCUAUAGGAGCAGCUCGGUGGAGGAUAAGAUGCUUUGUCUUUAAUUCCUCCGACUUUUUGAUUUGCUUUCAAGCAACUGGAGGUCUCAGGUGGAAAAUUCCCCAGAUUAUGAGCCCUCGCGUCGCUUUUCCACAUCUGUGCCAGCUUUGUGGACUGUCAAACCUGCUCUGUUUUCUCCAAAUGAAUCCUGAUAGGCUUUUGUCUGAGCAGUCGGGAAUUUAAACUAGGCUUUUUCUCCACCCCCAGAUUUGCAACACCGACAAAAUGGGUCUUAAAGUAGCCCUACUAUAAUGUUAUCAUCAUUCAAAUGUAAGUGAAAUGAUUCAUGAUUCUGAUUAUCCUACAUUAUAUUAAAUGACUAUGAAUUUCAUGUAGCCAAUACUUUUGUGUUCUUAAUAAAGCAGUUUUGGGGAUAAGCAGUUCAGCAUGACAGAUUGAAGCUCAGACUGUAUUUGGACAGCCUCUGGCACGGGAACAUGAUCUGUUGUGACAUUCUGAAAAGGGAGGGGUGGAAGUCCAUCUCAGAAAGGAGGAACGCAAAGGGAGCUGCAUGUCAAAAGCUAUGGAGCAGAUGAGGGGGAAUGCUUUGCUUUGAUGUAAAUGUAUACCAGUAUUUGGAUUAAAAAAACAUGAUUGUAAAUAUAUAUUACAGAGAGUUUUAUGACGCUUUUAAUUUGUUUUCUAUUUUGGUUCUUCCAAAUCCAUGUACUUUGCACCUUUGUGUGCUGUGCUCGUCACGGGUGAGAGUUGGGGGUUGGGGGGUUUGGCUCUGUCUGUAACGACCUUGACUGGACAGACAGCUCAGCAUAGCAUCAUUAAGGGAAAUUUAAACCACUCUUUACUUUUCAAUAAUCUGUCAUCUUCUUUGUAGUUGCUUCUCUUUAUUUGUUGAAAACAAUACAUGUAAAUAUUACAAGUAAAAAAAUGUAUAUUUUUACUACUUCUGAGUUAUUACUAUUUCAUUUGCAAAUAAAAUAUACAAUGACAAGUUA
ensembl:lncRNA